rnacentral:rRNA from 1 species
GAUGAACGCUGGCGGCGUGCCUAAUACAUGCAAGUCGAGCGAACAGACGAGGAGCUUGCUCCUCUGACGUUAGCGGCGGACGGGUGAGUAACAUGUGGAUAACCUACCUAUAAGACUGGGAUAACUUCGGGAAACCGGAGCUAAUACCGGAUAAUAUAUUGAACCGCAUGGUUCAAUAGUGAAAGACGGUUUUGCUGUCACUUAUAGAUGGAUCCGCGCCGCAUUAGCUAGUUGGUAAGGUAACGGCUUACCAAGGCGACGAUGCGUAGCCGACCUGAGAGGGUGAUCGGCCACACUGGAACUGAGACACGGUCCAGACUCCUACGGGAGGCAGCAGUAGGGAAUCUUCCGCAAUGGGCGAAAGCCUGACGGAGCAACGCCGCGUGAGUGAUGAAGGUCUUCGGAUCGUAAAACUCUGUUAUUAGGGAAGAACAAAUGUGUAAGUAACUAUGCACGUCUUGACGGUACCUAAUCAGAAAGCCACGGCUAACUACGUG